UAUCACUUAUGAGCCUAAUUUAAUCAUGUUUACAAACAAAUUUCCAAUCUUGUCAGUAUGAUAUCUGGCCAAGGGCUGGAGGAGGGCCUUCAUAAUCUUCGUUUGAAUGGCAUCCUAUCUGUCUUGUCCCCCUCCCAAGGCAGCACACUUGCCUAGAUUCUCCUUUUCAUGUUAUCUGAAGAGAGCAGUAUGGUUAAGACCCUUUCAGAUAGGCUGUCAUUUAAAUAUAAUAUUGAUAUGAAAAAAAUUGCCCAUCAUUCUGUUCUACUAGGCACCUUAAGUGUAUAAAAAUAUUUGCCCUAUUUUUAUAAUAGAGGUAUAAUGGUCCUUGAAAACCAGUGAUGAAAAAAAAGUGUAAUGGAAAAUAAAAUACUUAUAAAGGAAAAAAAAAGUGUCCCUUAGGAAAGACAAAAGAUUAAAAGGUCAAAAAAGGACAACCUCCUGUGAUCGAGUAAAAAUAGUUUGCAGAUCACACAAUUAGCAGUUGAAGUUUCAGGGCAAGUGUUAUUUUAGUCACUACUUAUAAUACGUAUAGGUUAAAAAAAAAUAUCUGGACCUUUGCUUUUCUUUCUUCCCUUUGUAAUUGUUUCUGUUAUUAUAUAACAUCACCCAUUACCUAACUCUGCAGGGAGAACAUUCCAGAACAAAAUGCCACAUGCCCUCAUGUUUGAACUGGGAGCUGUUUGGUGAGAGAAGAGGGAGUUGGCUUAAGCUUGACUUUUCUAAUGAUAACAUGUAGACCACAGCAUUCAAACAAGUCAAUGACAACUUCCCUUUGUAAGAGGGGACUUGCACUCAAAGCAUAAAGUCUGGUCAUGCCUCUGAUGUAGCCCAUGUGCCGGUGACUACCUUCUAGUGGAUGUCAAGAUACAGAGAGCCUGUUCCAAGAUACUCUCAGAACUCAUGGAAGAGCUUGCACACUGUCUAAGCUCCUGUCUGUGGCGGUCACGUUUACUAACCACACUCACUCAGCAAUGGACAACCUCUUCCAAUCUGUCGGAAUUUUAAGAUUUUUUACUUUUUUUUGGCAUUUGUUUUUAUUUUUUUAAGUUUUAUUGAAGUAUGUUGAUUUACAAGAUUGUGAUAAUUUCUGCUGUGCAACAAAGUGAUUCAGUCAUUUAUAUAUACAUCUCCAUUCUCAUUCAGAUUCUUUUCACACAUAGAUUAUCAAAGAAUAACAGUAGAUUUCUCUGAGAAGAUUUCUCAAGUCCCUGUUGACCAAGCAUCCCACAUACCACAGUGUACAUAUGCCAAUCAGAAGCUCCAGUCCAACUCUCCAAAUUCACCCCCCAACCUGUCCACCUUGGUAACCAUGAUGGCUUUUUAAAAAAUUUAUCAAUACUUUAUUUUUUUAAUAAUGAUUUUUAUCUUUUCUAUUAUAGCUAGUUUAUGGUAUUCUGUCAAUUUCCUACUGUAUAGCAAGGUGAUCCAGUCAUACAUACAUGUAUACAUUCUUUUUUCUCACAUUAUCAUGCCUCAUUAUAAGUGACUAGAUAGAGUUCCCAGUUCUAUAGAGCAGGAUCUCAUUGCUUAUCCAUUCCAAAGGCAAUAAUUUGCAUCUAUUAAUCCCAAAUUCCCAGUCCAUCCCAAUCCCUCCCCCUAACCCUUGGUAACCACAAGUCUAUUUCUUCAUGUCCAUGACUUUCUUUUCUAUGGAAAUGUUCAUUAGUGCCAUAUAUUAGAUUCCAGAUAUAAGUAGUAGCAUAUGGUAUUUAUCUUUCUCUUUCUGACUUACUUCACUCAGUAUGAGUCUCUAGUUCCAUCCAUGUUGCUGCAAAUGGCAUUAUUUUGUUCUUUUUUAUGGCUGAGUGGUAUUCCAUUGUGUAUAUAUACCACAUCUUCUUCUUUUUUUUUUUUUUCUUCCGUUUUUUUUUUUUUUAUUAUUAUUUUCCCACUGUACAGCAAGGGGGUCAGGUUAUCCUUAGAUGUAUACAUUGCAGUUACAGUUUUUUCCCCCACCCUUUCUUCUGUUGCAACAUGAGUAUCUAGGCAUAGUUCUCAAUGCUAUUCAGCAGGAUCUCCUUAUAAAUCUAUUCUAGGUUGUGUCUGAUAAGCCCAAGCUCCCGAUCCCUCCCACUCCCUCCCCCUCCCAUCAGGCAACCACAAGUCUCUUCUCCAAGUCCAUGAUUUUCUUUUCUGAGGAGAUGUUCAUUUGUGCUGGAUAUUAGAUUCCAGUUAUAAGUGAUAGCAUAUGGUAUUUGUCUUUGUCUUUCUGGCUCAUUUCACUCAGUAUGAGAUUCUCUAGUUCCAUCCAUGUUGCUGCAAAUGGCAUUAUGUCAUCCUUUUUUAUGGCUGAGUAGUAUUCCAUUGUGUAUAUAUACCACCUCUUCCAAAUCCAAUCAUCUGUCGAUGGACAUUUGGAUUGUUUCCAUGUCCUAGCUAUUGUGAAUAGGGCUGCAAUGAACAUGCGGGUGCAUGUGUCUCUUUUAAGUAGAGUUUUGUCCGGAUAGAUGCCCAAGAGUGGGAUUGCAGGGUCAUAUGGAAGUUCUAUGUAUAGAUUUCUAAGGUAUCUCCAAACUGUUCUCCAUAGUGGCUGUACCAGUUUACAUUCCCACCAGCAGUGCAGGAGGGUUCCCUUUUCUCCACAGCCCCUCCAGCACUUGUUAUUUGAUACCACAUCUUUUUAAUCCGUCAUCUGUCGAUGGACAUUUAGGUUAUUUCCAUGUCUUGGUUAUUGUGUAUAGUGUUGGAAUGAACAUGUGGGUGCCUGUGCCUUUUUCAAGGAAAGAUUUGCCCAAGAGUGGGAUUGCUGGGCCAUAUGGAAGUUCUAUGGAUAGUCUUCUAAGGUACCUCCAUACUGUUCUCCAUAGUGGUUGUACCAAUUUAUGUUCACACCAACAGUGCAGGAGGGUUCCCUUUUCUCCACACCCUCUCCAGCAUUUGUUAUUUGUGGACUUAUUAAUGAUGGCCAUUCUGACAGGUGUGGCAGUUUUGAUUUGCAUUUCUCUAUAAUCAGGAAUGUUGAGCAUUUUUUCAUGUGCUUGUUGGCCAUCUGUAUAGCUUCUUUGGAGAAAUGUCUGUUCAGGUCUUUUGCUCAUUUUUCCAUUGGGUUGUUGGCUUUUUUGCUGUUGAGUUAUCUAGGUUGUUUGUAUAUUUUAGGGAUUAAGCCCUUGUCAGUUGCAUCAUUUGAAAGUAUUUUCUUCCAUUCUGUAAGUUGUCUUUUUUGUUUCCUUUUUGGUUUUAUUUGCUGUGCAAAUGCUGGUCAGUUUGAUUAGGUCCCAUUGGUUUAUUUUUGCUUUUAUUUCUAUUGCUUUGGGAGACUGACCUGAGAAAACAUUUGUAAGGUUGAUAACAGAGAAUGUUCUACCUCUGUUUUCUUUUGGGAGUUUGAUGGUGUCUUGUCUUACAUUUAAGUCUUUCAGCCAUUUUGAGUUUAUUUUUGUGCAUGAUGUGAGGGUGUGUUCCGCUUCCAUUGAUUUACAUGGGGCUGUCCAGUUUUCCCAAAAUCACUUGCUACAAAGACUGUCUUUUUUCCAUUUUAUAUUCUUGCCUCCUUUGCCAAAGAUUAAUGGACCAUAGGUGUCUGGGUUUAUUUCUGGAUUCUUUAUUCUGUUCCAUUGGUCUGCAUGUCUGUUUUGGUAACAGUACCACACCAUCUUGAUUACCAUGGCUUUGUAAUAUUGCCUGAAGUCUGAGAGUGAUGCCUCCUGCUUGAUUUUUGCUCCUCAGGAUUGCUUUGGCAAUUCUGGGUCUUUUGUGGUUCCAUCUAAAUUUUUGAAUUGUUUGUUCUAGUUCUUUGAAAAAUGUCAUGGGUAAUUUGAUAGGGAUUUUAUUGAAUCUGUAGGUUGCUUUGGGUAGUAUGGCCAUUUUUACAGUAUUAAUUUUUCUCACCCAGGAGCAUGGAAUAUCUUUCCAUUUCUUUGAAUCCUCUUUAAUUUUCUUGAUGAAUGUUGUAUAGUUCUCAUCAUAAAAGUCUUUCAUCUCCUUGGUCAGGUUUAUUUCCAGGUAUUUGAUUUUUUGGGUGUGCAAUUUUAAGAGGUAUUGUAUUUUUGUAUUCCUUUUCUAAUAUAUCACUGUUAGUAUGCAGAAAUGUGACUGAUUUCUAAAUGUUAAUCUUAUAUCCUGCUACUUUGCUGAAUUUAUUGAUCAAUUCGACUAGUUUUUGGAUUGAGUCCUUAGGGUUUUCUAUAUAUAGUAUCAUGUCAUCUGCAUACAGUGAUAAUUUUACCUCUUCUCUUCCAAUUUGAAUACCUUUUAUUUCUUUUGUUUGUCUGAUUGCUGUGACUAGGACUUCCAAUUCUAUGUUGAAUAACAGUGGCAAGAGUGGGCAUCCUUGUCUUCCAGAUUUGAGUGGGAAGGCUUUCAGCUUUUCUCCAUUUUGUAUUAUAUUCACUGUGUGUUUGUCAUAAAUGGCUUUUAUUAUGUUAGGGUAUGUUCCCUCUAUACCCACUUUGGUAGGAGUUUUUAUCAUGAACAGAUAUUGGACUUUGUCAAAUGUUUUUUCUGUAUCUAUUGAGAUGAUCAUGUGGUUUUUGACUUUUCUUUUGUGAAUGUGGUGUAUGAUGUUGUUUGACUUGCAUAUGUUGAACCAUCCUUGUGAACCUUGGAUGAAUCCUACUUGGUCAGGUGUAUUAUCUUUUUUAUAUGUUGUUGGAUUUGGUUGGAUAAAAUUUUGUUGAGAAUUUUUGCAUACACAUUCAUCAAAGAUAUUGGUCGAUAUUUUUCUUUUUUGGUGGUAUCUUUGUCUGGUUUUGGAAAUAGGGUGAUGGUGGUGUCAUGGAAUGUCUUUGGAAGUGUUCCUUCUUCUUCAACCUUUUGGAAAAGUUUAAGGAGGAUGGGUAUAAAUUCCUUUUUGUAUAUUUGGUAGAAUUCUCCUGUGAAGCCAUCUGGUCCUGGACUUUUAUUUGUAGGGUGUGUUUUUAUUACAUAUUCAAUUUCAUUUCUAGUGAUCGGUGUGUUCAGUUGUUCUGUUUCUUCUUGAUUCAUUUUUGGCAUGCUGUAACCCUCUAGAAAGUUGUACAUUUCUUCUAGGUUGUAAAAUUUGUUGUAUAAAAUUGUUCAUAGUAUUCUCUUACAUUUUUUAAUUUUUUAUUUCUGCAGUAUCCAUUGUGAUUUUUCAUUUUUUAUUUUGCUUAUUUGGGUUUUUUCUCUCCUUUUUUUUUUGAGUCUGGCCAGAGGUUUGUCAAUUUUGUUUACCUUUUCAAAGAACCAGCUCUUGGUUUUAUUGAUUUUUUUUCUAAUAUAUUUUUAUCUGUGUGUAUUUUCUAUUCUAUUUUUCUAUUUUUUCUAUUUGAAUCUCUAUUUAAUUGAUUUCCUCUCUGAUCUUUAUGAUUCCCUUCCUUCUGCUGACUUGAGGUUUUGUUUUUUCUACUUUUUCUAAUUCAUUUAGGUGGUGGGUUUAGUCGUCUAUUUGAGACUUAUUUUGUGAGGAAGGCCUGUUUUGCUAUGAAGUUCCCUCUGAGCAUUGCUUUUGCAGCAUCCCGUAGAUUUCGAGUGGAUUUGUUUUCAUUAUCAUUUGUCUUGAGGUAGUUUUUAAUUUCCUUCUUGAUGUCCUCAUUUACACUUUGUUUUUUUAGUAGCAUGUUUUUUAGUCUCCAUGUGGUAUGUUUCUUCUCAUUUCUUUUCCUGUGGUUGAUUUCUAGUUUCAUGCCAUUGUGGUCAGAGAAGAUACUUGAAAUAAUUUCUAUACUCUUAAAUUUGUUGAGGUUAGCUUUGGGCUCCAGUAUGUGAUCAGUCCUUGAGAAUGUUCCAUGUGCACUUGAGAAGAAUGUAUAUUCUGAUUUUUUUUUUUGGAUGUAAUGUCCUGCAAAUGUUGAUUAAGUCUAACUUUUCUAUUGUGUCCUUUAGGAUCUCUGUUGCCUUAUUGAUUUUCUGUCUAGAGGAUCUGUCCAAUGAUUUGGGUGAGGUAUUAAAGUCUCCUACUAUUAUUGUGUUCCCAUCAUUUCUCCUUUUAUGUCUGUUAGUACUUUUGUGUGUAUCUGGGUGCCCCUAUAUUAGGGGCAUAUAUGAUGAAUAUAAUAUCCUCUUCUUGAAUGGAUCCUUUAACCAUUAUUGUCCUUCUUUGUCUUUCUUUAUGACCUUCAUUUUAAAGUCUAUUUUGUCUGAUGUGAGUAUUGCAACUCCUGCUUUCUAUCUUGUCCAUUGGCAUGAAAUAUCUUUUCCUAUCCUCUCACUUUCAAUCUAUAUGUGUCCUUUGCCCUAAGUGAGUCUCUUAUACACUGCAGAUUGUAGGUUUUUGCUUUUUUAUCCAAUCUUCCACUUUAUGUCUUUUGAUUGGAACAUUCAAUUAAGGUAAUUAUUUAUAGAUACAUAUUUAUUUCCAUUUUAAAUAUUAUUUUCCAGUUGAUUCUAUGUUUCUCCUUUUUUUUUAGUUGGAUGAUUUCCAUUUAUUUUAUGCUUGAGUCCUUUUCUUUUUAGUUUUUGUGAAUGUAAUGUUUGGUUUUGAUUUGUGGUUGCCCUGUUAUUUAAGUAUGUUAACCCCUUCUUGUAUCUGCUUGCUUUAGCCUGGCAGUCAUUUAGGCUCAAACACAUU
rnacentral:lncRNA from 1 species